GACGAACGCUGGCGGCGUGCUUAACACAUGCAAGUCGAACGAUGAAGCCUAGCUUGCUAGGUGUGUUAGUGGCGAACGGGUGAGUAAUACGUGAGUAACCUACCUUUAACUCUGGGAUAUGCCUGGGAAACUGGGUCUAAUACCGGAUACGACCAAUCUCCGCACGGGGUGUGGGUGGGAAGGGUUAUGUGGUGGUUAUAGAUGGGCUCACGGCCUAUCAGCUUGUUGGUGAGGUAACGGCUCACCAAGGCGACGACGGGUAGCCGGCCUGAGAGGGUGACCGGCCACACUGGGACUGAGAUACGGCCCAGACUCCUACGGGAGGCAGCAGUGGGGAAUAUUGCACAAUGGGCGCAAGCCUGAUGCAGCGACGCCGCGUGCGGGAUGACGGCCUUCGGGUUGUAAACCUCUGUUAGCAGGGAAGAAGAGAAAUUGACGGUACCUGCAGAGAAAGCGCCGGCUAACUACGUG
rnacentral:rRNA from 1 species